UACAGAGGGUGCAAGCGUUGUUCGGAAUUAUUGGGCGUAAAGGGCGCGUAGGCGGUGCGGUAAGUCUGCCGGGUGAAAUCUCCCGGCUCAACUGGGAGUCUGCCGUGGAACUGCCGUGCUUGAGUGUGGGAGAGGUGAGUGGAAUUCCCGGUGUAGCGGUGAAAUGCGUAGAUAUCUGGAGAACACCGGUGGCCGAAGGCGGCAUCC
rnacentral:rRNA from 1 species